GGCCUGGAAUCCACCAACCGGCCGUUCUUCGUCGUGCUCAACUUCCCCAAGGGCACGGACACCGAGGCGGAGCUGGCCAAGUGCACGCCGCCGGGGUUCGCCGAGAGGACCAAGGGCAGGGGCGUGGUGCACACGGGGUGGGUGCAGCAGCAGCACAUCCUGCGGCACCGCGGCGUGGGGUGCUUCGUGAACCACGCCGGGCUGAGCUCCGUGGUGGAGGGGCUCGUGGCCGGCUGCCGGCUGGUGCUGCUGCCGAUGAAGGGCGACCAGUACCUCAACGCGGCGCUGUUCGCGCGUGACCUCCGCGUCGGGGCGGAGGUGGCGCGGCGCGACAGCGACGGGUGGUUCGGGCGCGGGGACGUGAGCGACGCCGUGGACACGGCGAUGGCGGACGGGUGGGAGGGCCAAGGGAUUAAAUGGAGGGACUUCUUGAUGGAUGACGCCGUGCAGAAGAGGUUGGCGGACGAUUUCGUCAGGGAUUUUAAGAAGUUCGUGAGGGCCUGA
rnacentral:rRNA from 1 species